GUCUUCUCUAGCCUCCUGCUAUUUGGCUUUGCAGAGCAGAAGCAGCUGCUGGAGGUGGAACUCUACGCAGACUAUAGAGAGAACUCGUACGUGCCGACCACUGGAGCGAUCAUUGAGAUCCACAGCAAGCGCAUCCAGCUGUAUGGAGCCUACCUCCGCAUCCACGCGCACUUCACUGGGCUCAGCUCUGAACCUGCUGGGGGUGCUCUCCGACAGCGCCCCACCUGCUCUAGUUCCUGAAGAAAAGGGGCAGACUCCUCACAUUCCAGCACUUUCCCACCUGACUCCUCUCCCCUCGUUUUUCCUUCAAUAAACUAUUUUGUGUC
rnacentral:lncRNA from 1 species